AUCUGAUGGUUUGUUUGUGUUUGAGCGUGACCUAAGUAUCUCGUUCCUCAGUUACCCCACCAACGAUGACAGCUGUCCGGAGGGAGAUGUUCAUUUCGCACAAGUACAGCCAAAACAUUGGUAUGAUCCAGAUAAUUGGUGUAUCCCUUUGCACGACUUUGAUGCACAGUGUUUGGAUGUUGAUCUUUUGGACAGCGAAAAAGUACCUUGCCGUAACGAUGACGUCAUUUUCCCCAGUGACAAAACCUUCUACGUCAGCUUAGAUACUGACGUAGAGAUAAGCAUACGGAGUCUCAGGAUCGGAUAUACGGUUUAUGACACUGAGCAAUUUAAACAGUUCCUAACGAGUGACUUAGGGAAGAAACAGUUUGUGCUUGCAUCAUCUGCCAACGACGUGACAAUUCAC